UCAUUACAUUAAAUAAACAAUUUGCAUUUCAUUGAAACAUUUAGAGCUUAAUAACUCAAUCAUACUUUGUACAUUUGGAAAGUAAGCCCACCUGGUUAGGCAAAGCCUGAAGAUCAUAAUCACAUAUAAACCUGUCUUGGGAAAGCAGCGCUAAUUCCCCUGGUCACAAAGCCUACAAGAAAUUCUAUUCUUAAUAGGUCUCAUGAAACUAAUCUUAAUGUAUUUAUGGAUGUACUAAACAUACUUGAUUCAUCACGCCGGGUUUUCAAAUUUAAUGAAUAAAUACUUGAAAACUAAAUUUCUUGAGUUAAGGACACCAACAAUAUCCUUACUCGAUUUUCUUUUAGUGUUUUAGGGUUCUAGCAUCCAUAAUUCGUUCCAUUAAAGACAAUCGAAAACCAACAUAACCUCGUGACUAACCACAUAAUAUCACGUAAUCACGUAAACAAUAAACAGAAAGAAAUAAAAUCCUCAAGUUUAGUAUCAUUAAAAUCACAAGUUCA
rnacentral:lncRNA from 1 species